ensembl:lncRNA
GGACGGCUCUGUGAUCAGAUGGGACUCUGCCCAAUGGGGUGUGUCGAGUGCCAAGGCCAGACAGACAGACAGCAGCCUGCCCUGUGCAUUGCCAUCCCCAGAACAGCAGCUCUCCACCUCACGGUCUUAUCCACUGACAGCAAAUAGUAGCCAAGAAACAGUCCUGUCAAUCACCCGAUUUCCAAACUUUAACCCCAACAUGACCACAGAACUCAGCCCUAACUUUAACCCCAACAUGACCACAGAACUCAGCCCUAACAUUAACCCCAACAUGACCACAGAACUCAGCCCUAACAUUAACUCUAAUGUGACCAACUCCAACCCCAACAUGACGACUAAGCUCAUCCCUAACCAUAACCCAAAUACAACCACAGGUCUCAAUGCCAACCAUAACCCCAACACAACCACACAUCCCAUUCUUAACCUUGAUCUUAACCCCAACACAACCACACAUCCCAUUCUUAACCUUGAUCUUAACCACAUCACAACCACACAGCCUAUUCUUAGUCUUGAUCUUAACCCCAACACAACCACACAUCCUAUUCUUAACCCUGACACACCCACACAUCCCAUUCUUAACCCUGACACAAUCACACAUCCUAUUCGUAGCCUCGAUCUUAACCCCAACACAACCACACAUCCCAUUCUUAACCCCAACAAAACCACACAUCCCAUUCUUAACCUUAACCCCGACACAACCACACAUCCAAUUAUUAGCCUCAAUCUUAACCCCAACACAACCACACAUCCCAUUCUUAAUCCUGACACAAACACACAUCCCCUUCUUAACCUUGAUCCUAACCCCGACACAACCACACAUCCUAUUAUUAGCCUCGAUCUUAACCCCAACACAACCACACAUCCCAUUCUUAAUCCUGACACAACCACACGUCCCAUUCAUAACUUUGAUCUUAACCCCAACAAAACCACAUAUCCCAUUCUUAACCUUAACCCCGACACAACCACACAUCCUAUUAUUAGCCUUGAUCUUAACCACAACACAAACACACAUCCCAUUCUUAAUCCUGACACAAACACACAUCCCCUUCUUAACCUUGAUCCUAACUCCAAUACAACCACACAUCCUAUUCUUAGCCUUGAUCCUAACUCCAAUACAACCUCACAUCCCAUUCUUAACCUUAAUCCCGACACAACCACACAUCCUAUUAUUAGCCUCGAUCUUAACCCCAACACAACCACACAUCCCAUUCUUAAUCCUGACACAACCACACAUCCCAUUCUUAACCUUGACCUUAACCCCAACACCACCACACAUCCCAUUCUUAAUCCUGACACAACCACACAUCCCCUUCUUAACCUUGAUCCUAACUCCAAUACAACCACAUAUCCUAUUCUUAGCCUUGAUCCUAACUCCAAUACUACCACACAUCCUAUUCUUAGCCUUGAUCCUAACUCCAAUACAACCACAUAUCCUAUUCUUAGCCUCGAUCUUAAACCAAAGACAACUGCAAAUAUCAGCCCUAAAAUUAACUCAAAUACAACCACAGAACUUAGUCGUAGCCUUAACCCUAACCCAUACAUAACCACAGGUCUUGGUCUUACUUUUGACACUAACACCAAAAAGACCACAGAUCUGAGCACUAACUUUAACCCCCACCCAACAACAGGGCUCAGGCAUAACUUUAACCCCGACCCGACCACAGAUGUGAGCCCUGACUUUAACCCCCACCCGACCACAGGGUUCAGGCGUUACUUUUAUCUCAAAACAACCACAAAAGUCAUACCUGCUGACCACCCAUCGGCUAUAUCAGAAACUACAUUACAGUAUUUUACACCUACUCCUGGGCUGCAUGAGGUGACGCAGGAGCAGCAGGGGAAUCUGGAGGAGUGGCAGGAUGAGAUAAAGGAGAAGCAAGAAAUGCUGGAGGGGCAGCAGGAGGUGAAGGGGAAGCAGGAGGUGAAGGAGGAGCAGAAAGUUGAGGAGCAUAAGGAUUUUAAGAGACAAGAGGUAAAAGAGGAACAAUUGAUGAAAGAGCAGCAACAGGAGGUUAAAUUGCAGCAGGAUUUGAAGGAAGAACCGGAGGAAGUGAAGGAGGUACUGCUGGGAAAGCUGAAGAAGGAGCAGGAGGAUAAUGAGAAGCAGAAUGUGAAGGAGGAGCAGAAGGUUAAAGAGCUGCAGGAAAUGCUGGAGGAGCAGCAUAAGGGGAAGGAGGAGCUGGAGGAGAUGAAGGAGAAGGAGCAUAGGAAGCGAGAGGAGGAGCAGGAGGAUAGUGAGCAACAGGAGGUGCAGCAGCAGAUGGAUGACUUGUUCAGCCAGGAGGCCCAACAGCAGUAUGAGUUAGAGGAGCUUUUCAACCAGAC